rnacentral:rRNA from 1 species
AGAGAAUAGAUACCCUGGUAGUCCACGCCCUAAACAAUGAUCACUCGAUGUCGGGGGAUUCGACCCCUUCGGUGUCUAAAGUUAAACACGAUAAGUGAUCCGCCUGGGUAGUACGAUCGCAAGAUUAAAACUCAAAGGAAUAGACGGGGACCCGCACAAGCGGUGGAGCAUCUGGUUUAAUUCGACAGUAAACGAAGAACCUCACCAAGACUUGACAUCCCGAGAAGAUUGUCGAAAGACGAUUGUGCCGCAAGGAACUCGGUGACAGGUGCUGCAUGGUUGUCGUCAGCUCGUGCCUUGAGGUGUUCGGUUAAGUCCGUAAACGAGCGCAACCCAUGUCAUAUGUUGAAUUUUUCAUAUGAGACUGCCGGCUCCAAGUCGGAGGAAGGUAUGGAUGACGUCAAAUCAGCAU